UGGCAAAUUUGAACGUGGUGGAAACAG
rnacentral:piRNA from 1 species